GGGCCCGCACAAGCGGUGGAGCAUGUGGUUUAAUUCGAUGAUACGCGAGGAACCUUACCAGGGCUUAAAUGUAGGAUGCAUUAGCUAGAGAUAGCUAUUUCUUCGGACUUCUUACAAGGUGCUGCAUGGUUGUCGUCAGCUCGUGCCGUGAGGUGUCAGGUUAAGUCCUAUAACGAGCGCAACCCCUGUCGUUAGUUGCCAGCAUGUAAAGAUGGGGACUCUAACGAGACUGCCGGUGUAAACCGCGAGGAAGGUGGGGAUGACGUCAAAUCAUCACGGCCCUUACGUCCUGGCUACACACGUGCUACAAUGGUCGGUACAGAGGGCAGCUACCGGGUGACCGGAUGCG
rnacentral:rRNA from 1 species